rnacentral:rRNA from 1 species
UUCACGGAGAGUUUGAUCCUGGCUCAGGACGAACGCUGGCGGCGCGCUUAACACAUGCAAGUCGAGCGAGAACCGGGACUUCGGUCCCGGGGACAGCGGCGAACGGGUGAGUAACACGUGGGUAAUCAACCCCCGGCACCGGGAUAGCCCGAGGAAACUCGGAUUAAUACCGGAUAGCCCC